AUCGCUUCUCGGCCUUUUGGCUAAGAUCAAGUGUAGAAUUUUAGCUUCCAGAACUGUGAGAGAAUAAAUUUCUAUCGUUUCAAGCCACAGUUUAUUGACGAUUUGUUAUGGCAGCCUCAGCAAACUAAUACAAUCAUU
rnacentral:snRNA from 1 species